AGAGAGCACCACCAUGGCAGCCAGGCUGAGAACCCUGCCGAUGAACUGCAGGAGGAAUUUAGACCCAAGGCCAAGAGGAGCUGCAAAGCCUUGCCCAUCUUCUCUGUGUCUCUGCCCUCGGAAGGCCUUCCAUCCAGCAGUGCAAAUGGCACCAAGCAGGCUCAGCCCAGCUUCGCUCCUGCCCCUUGUUUGACUGCAAAACUGCAGAAGAGCACAGAGAGCUGCAAGACUGAUGGGCUCAGCACAGGCAAAGAGGGGAUGUUCCAACCUGCCCCUCUUCUGCAGAAAUGUGUUCAGAGCCAGAAACCAUCAGGGAAGUGUCAGAAGAAAUCCAAACACCUGGAAAUGCCGAAGAGCAGAAAGAGAUCCUUCCUGAGAAUGGACGACCCCUUUGACGCUGCAAGUACCUGUGAUGUGGUCACUGUCCCCAGGAAGGUCGUGAAGAUCUCGUAGUCCACCAUGCAGAGCAGCUCCUCGCCGGCCACAUGAGGAGCUUCCCUUCAACACCCACCCGUGCCCCAAAAGCUCCUUCACGCAGUCCAGUAUUAAUGUUUUCACAUUAUUAAUUUAUAGUGCUUAUGAUAGAAUAUAUAGUUAUUUCUUUAGGUAUAGGUGUGCAAAUUACAUUGUUUGUGUUCAGUAAAGACACUGUUAUAUAUUAAAAUCUCUUUCCUUUAUAUAAGAAAUCAUAUUUGCACGUGUUUUUUGGGGGGAGAUGGGGUUGAAGGAGGCACAUGAUUAUUUUGUUGUUGUUGUUGUCAAUAAAAUUCAAUGAAAAUGAGAUGGAUGGAUCGGAUGAUCUCCGUGGUCUUUUCCCACCUCUAUAAGUAAGACUCAUCCCCAUGGUCUGGGCACCCAAAUAGAUAUCCAUGAUAUGUAUCCAUGAAAGAUACAUGGCUGAGUGCAUCCCAAGACUGAACACAUUCUGAAAGUAAGCAAAAGAAGUUCUACAACAGUCCAGCAGGCUGGAGGGAGGGGAGCUGCAGAGGGGGGUCUGAAGUGCUCCUGUCCCAACCAGAGAAACAGCCAGGGCUGUGCAAAGAGGCAGAAGAGCUGCCCCACUUGCGCAGGGAAGGAGCAUCCCUGGGUGUACGUUUUCCUUGGAAGGGCACCAGGCGCAGGCAGCGGGGAGCAUUCAGCAGGGGAUGGCCACACAGCACAGGGUCACAUCUCCUGAGUUCUUCACCCUCUGCUCUCGUCUUUCCCCCCUCCAUCUCCCUGUGCUCUGCAACUUCCUGGCCAUCCUCCCCCACCAUUUCCCAUUACUUCCUCUCCCUCCCCUUCCUGCCCCUUCCCAGCCCUCCACAACCUCCUGUUUCAGGUAUGUUCAGCAUUCUGCCAAGCAGGUUGUGCCUGUGGCCUCGCAAGUCCCUGCAGGAGGUGCAUCUCUGCCUGCUAACCUGGAACACGUGCUUGCUCCACUGCCCAGCUGCGAGCCAGGGCCGAGCCAUAGGUUUGCUUUCAUCCUCCCAGCUGUGCAGGA
ensembl:lncRNA